rnacentral:rRNA from 1 species
GGGCCUGGGGUAGGAGAGUAAGAGUGCUUGAAAUCGGCAAGAGGAAACCCGUUUGCGCCCGGUGUCGUCUCUUCGGCUCAGCAAUGCCUCUUGGUGUGGUGCACUUCGGAGAGACGGGUCAGCUCGCGCUGGGGGGCGUCACACACAUCCAGGUAGGGCUCCGGUGAGCCUGGUUGGAUGGCGCGCGCUCGGGGCCGGGCUGACGGAAACGGGCGCAACCGACCCGUCUAGAAACACGGACCAAGGAGUCUGACACGUGUGCGAGUACCCGGGUGGCAAGCCCGCGUGCGCAAUGAAAGUGAAGGGCGUUCGGGCGCCAACCGACCUUGAUCUUCUGUGAGGGGUUUUGAGUGGAGCACACUUGUCGGGACCCGAAAGAUGGUGAACUAUGCCUGAGGAGGUGAAGCCAGAGGAAACUCUGGGGGAGCUCGUAGCGAUACUGACGUGCAAAUCGUUCGUCGAACUUGGGUAUAGGGCGAAAGACUAAUCGAACCAUCUAGUAGCUGGUCCCUCCGAGUUUCCCUCAGGAUAGCUUGAACGCCGACGGUUUUGUCAGGUAAGCGAAUGAUUAGAGCA